GCAAUGCCGCGUGUGUGAAGAAGGCCUUCGGGUUGUAAAGCACUUUUGUCCGGAAAGAAAUCCUUUGGGUUAAUACCUCGGGGGGAUGACGGUACCGGAAGAAUAAGCACCGGCUAACUACGUGCCAGCAGCCGCGGUAAUACGUAGGGUGCAAGCGUUAAUCGGAAUUACUGGGCGUAAAGCGUGCGCAGGCGGUUUUGUAAGACGGAUGUGAAAUCCCCGGGCUUAACCUGGGAACUGCAUUCGUGACUGCAAGGCUAGAGUAUGGCAGAGGGGGGUAGAAUUCCACGUGUAGCAGUGAAAUGCGUAGAGAUGUGGAGGAAUACCGAUGGCGAAGGCAGCCCCCUGGGCCAAUACUGACGCUCAUGCACGAAAGCGUGGGGAGCAAACAGGAUUAGAUACCCUGGUAGUCCACGCCCUAAACGAUGUCAACUAGUUGUUGGGGAUUCAUUUCCUUAGUAACGAAGCUAACGCGUGAAGUUGACCGCCUGGGGAGUACGGUCGCAAGAUUAAAACUCAAAGGAAUUGACGGGGACCCGCACAAGCGGUGGAUGAUGUGGAUUAAUUCGAUGCAACGCGAAAAACCUUACCUACCCUUGACAUGUACGGAAUCUUGCUGAGA
rnacentral:rRNA from 1 species